rnacentral:lncRNA from 1 species
AGUUUAAUAUCUAUAUAAAAUAACUUCACUUUAAUCCAAUUGAUUUAUUGUUGAAGAUCUUAUUAGAAACACUCAUUGAUCCACAAACUCUAAUUUUUGAAACCUUAAUCUACAAAAACCUUCAUAUACUUCAAUCUAAUUGUUCAAUUGAUCUCAAAUUUUGCAUACACAUUUAUAACUAGUACAUCAACACAUUAUCCAAAUUUCACCCAUACUCACAUCACAAAACUCAAGAAAUCCUCAAAUUUGUAAACAUAUUUUUAUUUCUUAAAUCCUCAUCCUACCAAGAACAUCACUAACUUUGAAAAUCCGUCAAAAUCUCAAUAUUAGUUCAAAUGACAUGAAACCAAUGCCUAAAAAUCUCUCUUCUAGUCUGCCC